CUGCAGAGAGGAGGACAGAGAACAGUUGACACACAGUUUAACAUGAUGGACUAUAGGACAGGACUGCUGCUUUUAACUCUCUGCUGGGCAGGUGUUGAUGGUCAGACUCUGACAGAAUCUGAACCAGCGAUUAAAAGACCUGGAGAAUCUCACAGAUUGACCUGUACAACAUCUGGAUUCACAUUCAGCAGCUACGCUAUGAACUGGGUCAGACAGGCUCCUGGAAAAGGACUGGAGUGGAUCGCUUUUGUACACACAGGCAGUUCUCAUCUCUAUUACUCCCAGUCAGUCCAGGGGAGAUUCACCAUCUCCAGAGAUGACUCCAGCAGUAAAGUCUAUCUGCAGAUGAACAGUCUGAAGACAGAGGACACAGCAGUGUAUUACUGUGCACGAGAGACACAGUGAGAGACGAUAAUAUGAGAGUCAUACAAAAACUACUUCCUCUAUUUACAAUCACCACUGGGAUCAUAUAGUUGACUCGGUAUUACUUUUUUUGUGCCAUACUGCUGAUAAGUACACAAGUACCACAAGUACAUG